GACGAACGCUGGCGGCGUGCUUAACACAUGCAAGUCGAACGGAUUGCUUGGUGCUUGCACUGAGUGGUUAGUGGCGAACGGGUGAGUAACACGUGAGUAACCUGCCCCCUUCUUUGGGAUAAGCACCUGAAAGGGUGUCUAAUACUGAUUAUUCUGCUGGAAUCGCAUGGUUUUGGUUGGAAAGGUUUUUUCUGGUGGGGGAUGGGCUCGCGGCUUAUCAGCUUGUUGGUGGGGUAAUGGCUUACCAAGGCUUUGACGGGUAACCGGCCUGAGAGGGUGACCGGUCACAUUGGGACUGAGAUACGGCCCAGACUCCUACGGGAGGCAGCAGUGGGGAAUAUUGCACAAUGGACGAAAGUCUGAUGCAGCGACGCCGCGUGAGGGAUGAAGGCCUUCGGGUUGUAAACCUUUUUCGCUUUUGACCAAGGCAGCAUUUUGGUGUUGUUGAGGGUAUGAGGUAAAGAAGCUCCGGCUAACUACGUGCCAGCCGCCGCGGUAA
rnacentral:rRNA from 1 species